AGCGAACGCUGGCGGCAGGCCUAACACAUGCAAGUCGAACGAGACCUUCGGGUCUAGUGGCGGACGGGUGAGUAACACGUGGGAACGUGCCUUUAGGUUCGGAAUAACUCAGGGAAACUUGUGCUAAUACCGAAUGUGCCCUUCGGGGGAAAGAUUUAUCGCCUUUAGAGCGGCCCGCGUCUGAUUAGCUAGUUGGUGAGGUAAUGGCUCACCAAGGCUACGAUCAGUAGCUGGUCUGAGAGGAUGAUCAGCCACAUUGGGACUGAGACACGGCCCAAACUCCUACGGGGGGCAGCAGUGGGGAAUCUUGCGCAAUGGGCGAAAGCCUGACGCAGCCAUGCCGCGUGUAUGAUGAAGGUCUUAGGAUUGUAAAAUACUUUCACCGGUAAAGAUAAUGACUGUAGCCGGAGAAGAAGCCCCGGCUAACUCCGUGCCAGCAGCCGCCGUAAGAC
rnacentral:rRNA from 1 species